rnacentral:rRNA from 1 species
UACGUAGGGGGCAAGCGUUGUCCGGAAUCACUGGGCGUAAAGCGCGCGCAGGCGGCUGUCUACGUCCGGGGUGAAAGCCCAGAGCUCAACUCUGGGAUUGCCUUGGAUACGGGACGGCUUGAGGAUCGGAGAGGCAAGGGGAAUUCCACGUGUAGCGGUGAAAUGCGUAGAUAUCUGGAGGAACACCGGUGGCGAAGGCGGCAUUCUGGACCGACAUUGACGCUGAGGAGCGAAAGCCAGGGGAGCAAACGGG